rnacentral:rRNA from 1 species
UGAGGAAUAUUGGUCAAUGGGCGGGAGCCUGAACCAGCCAAGUCGCGUGAGGGAAGACGGUCCUACGGAUUGUAAACCUCUUUUGCCGGGGAGCAACGGGGUCCUUGCGAGGGCCCGAUGAGAGUACCCGGAG